CAGAAAGGAGAACACAAUCUGCUUUUUGAAGUUCAAUUUUUUUGAAGUUCAUCCAUAGUCGAAACAACCACGUGGUAGACAGAUUGAAGACUGUCUCCAGAGCCAUAAAUUAUUCCUUGUGAACAGAAUUCUUGGAAACAUCCUUGAGGAAAUGUUUUGGACUGUACAGUGAAGUGACUGGACAGCAAAAAAUGCAGAAUUCCAGCUCUUGAAAUGCAACGAUAAUGACAAACGCAGCUAGAGUCAUCUCAGCAGAGACUGAAUCAGAAAAAAAAAAUCAUUCUGUGUAGUUUGUUAGUAAGCAAUUAGAAAGAAAAUCAACAUCCAGACAUGAUUCCAGAACCAUUUCCUUCUCUAAAAGCAUUUAAUAUAUACUUUCUGAACAGCAUAUUGACAGGCACCUGGAUCAUUGUAUUGGAUUUGUACAGCCAUAAAGUCAUAUGUAGACAACAUACAUUAUCUUUCUCACAUCCAAACUCCAGUGAAGAAAAGUGAAUGGAUUAAUAUUUCUCCUUUCCUGCUCUGACAUUCAAAUUAACUAAGAUCAAACUAGCUUUAUAUUUUAGAAAGGAGCAAACUGCACAAUUUGUUAUAAAGAUAGACCGGUUUGGAUUGAUUUAGUGUUGUUAGAGCUAUAUCCUAGUGAGAAAAUGAAGAUUGCCUUUAUUCUGGUCAGCAAAAUUAAAAAAAUAUAUAGUUUUUACAGUUAAUUAUAUACGGUCUUUUUUUCCCAACAAAACUCAACUCAGCUCCAUUUCUUUGCUAUUUAAGCCAUUAUCAAUGGUGACUUUGUUCUGUUUGUCAUCAGCAACAAGCUGGGAACCAUCUGAAUGCAACU